rnacentral:rRNA from 1 species
AUACGGAGGGUGCGAGCGUUGUUCGGAAUUAUUGGGCGUAAAGCGAGCGCAGGCGGUUCUUUAAGUCUGAUGUGAAAGCCCCCGGCUCAACCGGGGAGGGGCAUUGGAAACUGGAGAACUUGAGUGCAGAAGAGGAGAGUGGAAUUCCAUGUGUAGGGGUGAAAUGGGUAGAUAUAUGGAGGAACACCAGUGGCGAAGGCGGCUCUCUGGUCUGUAACGGACGCUGAGGCUCGAAAGCGUGGGGAGCAAACAGGAUUAGAUACCCUGGUAGUCCACGCCGUAAACGAUGAGUGCUAAGUGUUGGAGGGUUUCCGCCCUUCAGUGCUGCAGCUAACGCAUUAAGCACUCCGCCUGGGGAGUACGGCCGCAAGGCUGAAACUCAAAUGAAUUGACGGGG